UUAAACCUAUAUCUAUCUCCGAUUUGUGAAAAAUAUGUAUUAAGGUUAUAACAACCAACAAGAAUGUACUUCUAUGUAGAAAUCCAUGAUUAAAUCGAGUCUUCCUAACUAGCGAUUUAAAUCAAUUUGCUUUUAAUCAAAUCCACCCUGAGAGAAACGCUGAUGAUGUCACAAGAGUGA